CCCCAGUAAACGGCGGCCGUAACUAUAACGGUCCUAAGGUAGCGAAAUUCCUUGUCGGGUAAGUUCCGACCCGCACGAAAGGCGUAACGAUUUGGGCACUGUCUCAACGAGAGACUCGGUGAAAUCAUAGUACCGGUGAAGAUGCCGGUUACCCGCGACAGGACGGAAAGACCCCGUGGAGCUUUACUGUAGCCUGAUAUUGAAAUUCGGUACAGUUUGUACAGGAUAGGUAGGAGCCUUAGAAGCGUGAGCGCUAGCUUACGUGGAGGCAUUGGUGGGAUACUACCCUAAUUGUAUUGGAUUUCUAACCCGCAGCACUUAUCGUGCUGGGAGACAGUGUCAGGCGGGCAGUUUGACUGGGGCGGUCGCCUCCUAAAGAGUAACGGAGGCGCUCAAAGGUUCCCUCAGAAUGGUUGGAAAUCAUUCAUAGAGUGUAAAGGCAUAAGGGAGCUUGACUGCGAGACCUACAAGUCGAGCAGGGUCGAAAGACGGACUUAGUGAUCCGGUGGUUCCGCAUGGAAGGGCCAUCGCUCAACGGAUAAAAGCUACCCCGGGGAUAACAGGCUUAUCUCCCCCAAGAGUUCACAUCGACGGGGAGGUUUGGCACCUCGAUGUCGGCUCAUCGCAUCCUGGGGCUGUAGUCGGUCCCAAGGGUUGGGCUGUUCGCCCAUUAAAGCGGUACGCGAGCUGGGUUCAGAACGUCGUGAGACAGUUCGGUCCCUAUCCGUCGUGGGCGUAGGAAAUUUGAGAGGA
rnacentral:rRNA from 1 species